AGUGAACGCUGGCGGCAGGCUUAACACAUGCAAGUCGAACGCCCGUAGCAAUACGGGAGUGGCAGACGGGUGAGUAACGCGUGGGAACAUGCCCUUUGGUUCGGAAUAACUCAGGGAAACUUGAGCUAAUACCGGAUAAGCCCGAGAGGGGAAAGAUUUAUCGCCGAAGGAUUGGCCCGCGUCCGAUUAGCUAGUUGGUGAGGUAAUGGCUCACCAAGGCGACGAUCGGUAGCUGGUCUGAGAGGAUGAUCAGCCACACUGGGACUGAGACACGGCCCAGACUCCUACGGGAGGCAGCAGUGGGGAAUAUUGGACAAUGGGGGCAACCCUGAUCCAGCCAUGCCGCGUGAGUGAUGAAGGCCCUAGGGUUGUAAAGCUCUUUCGGCGGGGACGAUAAUGACGGUACCCGCAGAAGAAGCCCCGGCUAACUUCGUGCCAGCCGCCGCCGUAAGAC
rnacentral:rRNA from 1 species